UCUCUAGGGGAAAGAUACGUACAAACAGUCUGUAAAAGAGAGUAAAUGAGGGAAUUAUUGUUGCUGGACACAGAUAAGUGCUUCUCUACUUCAGUCUUUCAAAUUUAGGAUUUGGACUAUGGUGUACAAUGAACUAUAAAACCAAAUUUAAUUUUUAGUCAUACUCUUUAAAGAGCUAGUUCUUGAGUCCUGGAAUGAUAGAAAGUGUUCAUACCCUUUUUCCCAAAGGGAGUCCAUUUCUUUUGAAAGUAAAGGGUGUAAUUUACAUUCAUAUUUGAAGAUUACAUUUGUAUACAAAAACUGAAGAGACAUUUAUAUUUUAUAUAUUCCUCUUCCCCAAGGAUUUCUUGUGUAACUCCUUUUUCCUUCCAUUGAGUGCACACCUGAUAGCUAUACGUGGUGUAUUAGCCAGGGUUCUCCAGAGAAACAGAACUAAUAGGAUAUAUGUGUAUUUAUAUGUGUUUGUGUGUAUAUAUAUUAAACAUAUACAGAUAAGCAGAUAUAUCUGCUUAUCUAUCUAUCUAUCUAUCUAGAGAUGUCUCUUAAGGAAUUGACUCUUGUGAUUCUAAAGGCUGAAAACUCCCAAUUCUGCACGGUGGACCAGCAGACUGGAGACCCAGGGAAGAGUUUACGUUGUAGUUCAAGUCUGGAGGCCAUCUGCUGUCAAAGGUCCCUUUUGCUAAGGGAGAUACUCCUCAUAAGCAAUUCCAAUGCUGUGUCACAGAGGCCGUGUGGAACUGCUAACCACAGAGUGGCUUGUUAUUAGGGCGCCUAGGUGGCUCAGUCGGUUAAGCGGCCGACUUCGGCUCAGGUCAUGAUCUCGAGGUCCGUGAGUUCGAGCCCAGCGUCGGACUCUGUGCUGCUGGCUCAAAACCUGGAGCCUGUUUCGGAAUCUGUGUCUCCCUCUCUCUGACCCUCCCCCGUUCAUGCUCUGUCUCUCUCUGUCUCAAAAAUAAAGAAACGUUAAAAACAAAAAAUAAAUAAAUAAAUAAAUAAAUACACAUUCUAACGGACAUGUCUUACUCCCUUCAAACUAGGGCUCGGAUUUGUCCCAGCAUGCCUCAUGGACACCACAUUUAUAAACAGCAUGCUUACCCCUGCCCCAUAGUUUUUCUUAUGUUUUUCUCCCAACCCAAAAUUUCCUUGGUAAACCCUCUCUCACAAUGUCCUCGGAGACCAACACAAGUUCCAUUUCUCCCAGCUUCUCUCCUAGCCAUGUCAGUGUGUCCUCACAUUCCCUGUUUCCAUAGUACCCAUUAAUACCCUGUUGCAGUACCUAUCACGAUGUGCUGUCAUUGUCUACUCACAGGAUUAUGUCUCACACUCAAUAAUGAGCUACGCGAUGACAGAAAACACACUUUAUUGUAACCCUGUGUGCCCAGAAGUGUUUGAUUCAUAUAGGUUCUCAGUGAAAUUUUCUCAAAGUGCUUAAUUUCUCCCUUCUCUACAUAUUUACCUCCAGACCAGAAUAGAAGUUUAGCAAUAUGCCAGGUAUCUAAAGAUGAGGACUAUAGUAACUAACAUUCACAGACCCAAGAUAAAGGAGUUUACAUGAACUCAAUCUUUUAUUGGUGAGUGUUUUCCUCCUAAAAGCCUUUUAGGGGUAGAAACCAUAUCUUAUGAGCCCUUUGAUCCUUUGGCAGUGUCUAGUACAG